CGGACGAAACAGGGGUGUCCCGCCAUUUUGGUGUGCGACUGAGAAAUACCCUGGGGCUACCGCGCACACAGUUGCAUGGCCCCGCUACCCGAUCCAGGUCAUGCUGGCGUGGGGAGUUUCCUUUCAAGCGGC
rnacentral:ncRNA from 1 species